GAACUUAAGCAUAUCAAUAAGCGGAGGAAAAGAAACCAACAGGGAUUGCCUCAGUAACGGCGAGUGAAGCGGCAACAGCUCAAAUUUGAAAUCUGGCCGCAAGGUCCGAGUUGUAAUUUGUAGAGGAUGCUUUUGGCGAGGUGCCUUCCGAGUUCCCUGGAACGGGACGCCAUAGAGGGUGAGAGCCCCGUACGGUAGGACCACCAAGCCUCUGUAAAGCUCCUUCGACGAGUCGAGUAGUUUGGGAAUGCUGCUCUAAAUGGGAGGUGUACGUCUUCUAAAGCUAAAUACCGGCCAGAGACCGAUAGCGCACAAGUAGAGUGAUCGAAAGAUGAAAAGCACUUUGAAAAGAGGGUUAAAAAGUACGUGAAAUUGUUGAAAGGGAAGCAUUCAUGACCAGACUUGGGCUUGGUUGAACAUCCGGCGUUCUCGCCGGUGCACUCUGCCAGUCCAGGCCAGCAUCAGUUUGCCCCGGGGGAUAAAGGCGGCGGGAAUGUGGCUCCCUUCGGGGAGUGUUAUAGCCCGUCGUGUAAUGCCCUGGGGCGGACUGAGGAACGCGCUUCGGCACGGAUGCUGGCGUAAUGGUCACCAAUGACCCGUCUUGAAACACGGACCAAGGAGUCGUCUUCGUAUGCGAGUGUUCGGGUGUCAAACCCCUACGCGUAAUGAAAGUGAACGUAGGUGAGAGCUUCGGCGCAUCACCGACCGAUCCUGAUGUUCUCGGAUGGAUUUGAGUAAGAGCAUACGGGGCCGGACCCGAAA
rnacentral:rRNA from 1 species